GCCUUUGUGGUGUAGUGGUCAGCACACUCGGCGCGUAUUCGAGAGGUCAGUGGUUCGAGUCCCGGCGAGGGCA
rnacentral:tRNA from 1 species